GCCGGCGUGAUGGAAUUGGCAGACGUGACGGACUCAAAAUCCGUUGGUAGCGAUACCGUGCGGGUUCAAGUCCCGCCGCCGGCACCA
rnacentral:tRNA from 1 species